UACAGGUAUUCCCCUAGUAGCGGGCGAGCGAAGCGGGAAGAGCUCAAAUUUAUAAUCUGGCACCUUCGGUGUCCGAGUUGUAAUCUCUAGAAAUGUUUUCCGCGUUGGACCGCACACAAGUCUGUUGGAAUACAGCGGCAUAGUGGUGAGACCCCCGUAUAUGGUGCGGACGCCCAGCGCUUUGUGAUACAUUUUCGAAGAGUCGAGUUGUUUGGGAAUGCAGCUCAAAUUGGGUGGUAAAUUCCAUCUAAAGCUAAAUAUUGGCGAGAGACCGAUAGCGAACAAGUACCGUGAGGGAAAGAUGAAAAGCACUUUGGAAAGAGAGUUAACAGUACGUGAAAUUGUUGGAAGGGAAACGCUUGAAGUCAGACUUGCUUGCCGAGCAAUCGGUUUGCAGGCCAGCAUCAGUUUUCCGGGAUGGAUAAUGGUAGAGAGAAGGUAGCAGUUUCGGCUGUGUUAUAGCUCUCUGCUGGAUACAUCUUGGGGGACUGAGGAACGCAGUGUGCCUUUUGGCGGGGGUUUCGACCUCUUCACACUUAGGAUGCUGGUGGAAUGGCUUUAAACGACCCGUCUGGAAACCACGGACCA
rnacentral:rRNA from 1 species